GGGCCCGUAGCUCAGCUGGUCAGAGCAGCCGACUCAUAAUCGGUUCUGCCCGAACGUGCUGGCGUACGUUCGGGUGGGAGUACGCUCUCGACCGAGCGGGCCC
rnacentral:tRNA from 1 species